rnacentral:lncRNA from 1 species
UUGAUGUUGCAAUUGUUCUGAUGCAGAUGGUGGAGGCAGUGCUAAAAUACCAUUGGAUGGGUAAGGGUCAGAUUGAUAUUGAAUAUGAUUAUAGCUAGGUACCACAUUUCCAGAUGGUGCAGGUAGUGCGAAAACAUCGUUGGAUCGGUAACGGUCAGAUUGAUAUUGAAUACGGUUAUAGCUAGGUACCACAUUUCCAUGUCCACCGUUAUAUUCAUUAUAAUGGUAACCGCGACUCUGAUCACCAUUAUAUUCAUUAUAGCGGUAUUCACGACCGUGGUUACCAUUAUAUUCAUUGUGAGAAUGUCCACC